CCAUGAAGCCGGAAUUGCUAGUAAUGGCAGGUCAGCAUACUGCCGUGAAUACGUUCCCGGGCCUUGUACACACCGCCCGUCACACCAUGAGAGUUGGGGAUACCCGAAGCCUGUGAGCUAACUUAUAGAGGCAGCAGUCGAAGGUAGAAUCAAUGAUUGGGGUGAAGUCGUAACAAGGUACC
rnacentral:rRNA from 1 species